UACGAAGGGGGCUAGCGUUGUUCGGAAUCACUGGGCGUAAAGGGCGCGUAGGCGGCCGAUCAAGUCGAGGGUGAAAGCCUGUGGCUCAACCACAGAAUUGCCUUCGAUACUGUUUGGCUUGAGACCGGAAGAGGUUAGUGGAACUGCGAGUGUAGAGGUGAAAUUCGUAGAUAUUCGCAAGAACACCAGUGGCGAAGGCGGCUGACUGGUCCGGUUCUGACGCUGAGGCGCGAAAGCGUGGGGAGCAAACAGG
rnacentral:rRNA from 1 species